UGAUAAGUUUAUACAUGGUAGAAACUAAAUACCUUGCGGCGGGGAUUGGCUCUGCUAUGCCAAUCGCGGUUGCAUCAGAAAGGCGGUCAGGAGUGCUAUCUUCCAAGAGUCUAGCAUGGAGGUUUGGGUCUGUUUCUCCAGCUGGAGGGGUGGGAUCACGGGCAGUACCGCUAAGAGUUCUACCUCUUCCCGGAAAUCUACUGUCCUCAGACGACUAAAUGUGAAGUAGUAUGGUUAGAUCAUACAUCCACCAAGUCAAAAGGAAUUAGCAGACAAGGUUAGCAUGAUUGUACCUGAUUAGAUGCUUCCCUCUGUGGCAGCCAUGAAGACAAGGAUCUCCAAGCGUUUCCCGUAGAGAAACCACUGUCCAAAGAACACUGUCAUUACAAUGUUUCCUAGGCAAGUAGUUCAGUUUUUUCGUAUGUAGUUAGAGGUUCGCACCUGGAUGUUGUGUUUUGUACAGAAUAAGUGGGCAUGUAGCUGGAAGGAUUUCCACCAGUGCACAUAAUGAAUUUGGGUCGCCUUACACAGCUAGCCUGGAAAGGGACAUAGAAUCCGAAUGAGCAACGAUUAAUUCAAAGAGAGACAUGUUUUGCUGCAGGUUCACGAAGCCUGAUGUUCGAAAAUACUUACCAUCCAGGAGGCUGACUCAAUGGUGGAGAAGAAUGAAGACCCGGGCAUCAAGAAAUUGAAAAGGCCAUAAGAAUCUGACACCCAAAGUGGCUAACAAAUUAGCUACCAUGAAACUUCAGGUUUAGAAAGUCGAAAGGUAAAGAAAAAGGUAAAAUAUCAUACAUGCAAAUCCAGACAGGAUGCCACAUAGGUGACCAAGCAAUGAAACAUUUGUCAUGAGAAGCUGGAAUGCAAUCAACAAGAGCCAUGGAUAUCUGCAAAUGGAUACAAAUUUUACACCAUAUGUGCAACAAAGAAAGCAAGUGAACAUUAACAACCCGACAAGAAAGACAAUAAGCUUACAGUUUCGCGGGCACGUUGAAGAGACCAAACACACUGCACAGAAAAAAGAAAAAAAAAUAUAUAUAUAUAUAUGAGAAGCGUCAUGAAUACAAAGGAUGUGCCAAAAAAUUAUUAAAAUAGCUAUAAAAAAGUCUUUACCUCCUAGAGGUGACUCCACUGAGACUCGUCUCUAUGACAAUCAUGGAAAACAAGAUCCCAGAGAAUCCAAUCGCGCACUCAUUCAUGAGAUGGUCAUACUGAUAGAAAGGAUUAUAUCCCACCAGUGACGCUAUAAGAAGAUGCAAUACGGCAUUGGUCGUCGCCAGCAAUAUUGUGAGGUAAAACAAGCGGACGGAUCCCAUGAUUCUCUCCAGCUCGGAUCCCAUAGGAACCAAGGCCAUCAUGUUGAACAUAACAUGAAGCAUCGAUCCAUGGAAUAGAAUGGCCGUGUAAAACCUAUAAACUGCACAACAGGUAACAAGAAAAACAAGCAGGAGUUUACAAGACAAAUACAUCAACAGCAAGAUGUAAAAUCUUUAGUGACAAAAAGAAAAUCAACAAACUUGAUAAUGUGUUUCAAGAAGAUAAGACUUAACAGUAUGAGAAUAUACCUUGGAAACGCGAUAGAAUUGCAGAGGGCAAGAAGCAGACUUCGUAGAAAGUAUCGUAUCCAGUUAAGAGGCUUAUGAGGUAAAUGAUUCCACAAACUACAACCACUGAAGAGGUGAGGAAAGGUAUUGCAUUCCACCAUUGUGAAACUCUGGUUUGAACCCCAGCCUAGAAGAAAAUAAGAAUCCACAACAAAUCACAAACGAGUACUAUAUAAGACCCAUACUAGGUGAUAGCUUAUAACUAAACCUUUGUCCGAAUCUCUACCUGGCUAGAGAUAGAAACCUAUCUAUUAGACCCCUUUAAUCAAUUUCAGAUAUCUUUCAAUAUUCUGAUUGGUCCCGUUAAUAGUAUAAUACCCAGAACACAAAGAACUACUGAAACGGAGGUUGCUCUACUUAUAAACCCCUACUACAUCAAAAGAUUCGAAAUACCUUGCGGCGGGGAUUGGCUCUGCUAUGCCAAUCGCGGUUGCAUCAGAAAGGCGGUCAGGAGUGCUAUCUUCCAAGAGUCUAGCAUGGAGGUUUGGGUCUGUUUCUCCAGCUGGAGGGGUGGGAUCACGGGCAGUACCGCUAAGAGUUCUACCUCUUCCCGGAAAUCUA
rnacentral:lncRNA from 1 species